CCCGAAGUAUCCUGAAUCUUUCGCAUUGUUAAUCAUACAAAUGCAUAUAAUAAACACAAAUAUCAAUGAUAAUUAUGCCAUUAUAUAAUUCCGAAAAAUUAACGCACUGUAAUCAUAUAAAUCUAUCAGCACUUUAUCAAAUUUAUAUCUUUUAUUUUAUGUUAAAAUGCCAAGCAUAUAAUUCAAAUAAGCAAUCAGACAUAAUUUUAUGAUAAAUAUUUAUGCUAAUAGAUUACAAUGUCCUUAUAUGGAAAAAAUGCACACUAUUAUUAUAAUAUUGUUUAAAUAUUACAAUUCUAAUGAUGAAUUUUCCAUAACGGAUAUUCAGGUUCAUCGGGC
rnacentral:rRNA from 1 species